CCGGAGAUGGUGCUCGUGCGGGCGGCGAUGCGACACGCGUAUCCGAAAGACUCUCGGCAACGGAUAUCUCGGCUCUUGCAUCGAUGAAGAACGUAGCGAAAUGCGAUACUUGGUGUGAAUUGCAGAAUCCCGUGAACCAUCGAGUCUUUGAACGCAAGUUGCGCCCGAAGCCAUUAGGCUGAGGGCACGCCUGCCUGGGUGUCGCCCAUUGUUGCCCCUGCCUUGGCCUCGUGCCAGGCACCGAGCUGGGCGAAUGUUGGCUUCCCGCGAGCAACGCCUCACGGUUGGUUGAAAACUGAGUCCGUGGUGGAGGGCGCCGUGACGGAUGGUGGUUGAG
rnacentral:rRNA from 1 species